AUUGAACGCUGGCGGCAGGCCUAACACAUGCAAGUCGAGCGGAUGAUGGGAGCUUGCUCCUUGAUUCAGCGGCGGACGGGUGAGUAAUGCCUAGGAAUCUGCCUGGUAGUGGGGGACAACGUUUCGAAAGGAACGCUAAUACCGCAUACGUCCUAUGGGAGAGAGCAGGGGACCUUCGGGCCUUGCGCUAUCAGAUGAGCCUAGGUCGGAUUAGCUAGUUGGUGGGGUAAUGGCUCACCAAGGCGACGAUCCGUAACUGGUCUGAGAGGAUGAUCAGUCACACUGGAACGGAGACACGGUCCAGACUCCUACGGGAGGCAGCAGUGGGGAAUAUUGGACAAUGGGCGAAAGCCUGAUCCAGCCAUGCCGCGUGUGUGAAGAAGGUCUUCGGAUUGUAAAGCACUUUAAGUUGGGAGGAAGGGCAGUAAGCUAAUACCUUGCUGUUUUGACGUUACCGACAGAAUAAGCACCGGCUAACUCUGUGCCAGCCGCCGCGGUAACAC
rnacentral:rRNA from 1 species